UCGGGGUAUGGCUUCGGCAGACCAAUAGGGUGGGAGCUAAUUAUUUAAGGACCCUUAUUUUUGGUAAGCGUAUACGUGUCUUGGUGAUUCCGAGUUCCUCGCUCCCCUGGCAUUUCCGGUUCCCAUUUCCAUUCAGGUAUGUUCAGGUUUUGCUCACGGCAUAAUGAGGUGAACAUCUCAAGGUUAAUUUGUUUGUUUUUACAGUCUUAGAGCGGCGCUGGUGGCGCGUGCAUUGUGGCGAAUUGGCGACGGAGAUCGCGUUCAGUGAUCGCAACAUUUAGCCGGUGGCUGAAAGAUAUGUGUAUGUAUGUUGAGCCGCGGUACCUGUGAGUAAUCAUACAACUUUGCGUCUGGUGUUUGUUCAUCCCAGUGGUAAGUGCACCUCUCCCUUUUUCACAUUGGGACUUGGUAGAUUUAGGUUGACACUCUGAUCUUUGUGUUAAGGUGAGAGUGGCGAGUUGAGGUAAGUCUUCUCUAAGGCAAACCCCCAGCCGAAGACGCUACAUAUGGUGCCGCUGCUGUUUUGCUUAUUGGGUUGUUUUGCUUUAACUGAUUUUGUUUUAAGGUUAUUUUCUUUGUUUCAUGUAUUGUUUUGCUUUACUUACUGAUUUUGUUUUACCCGAUCUGUUUUGCUUUACUUUAGUUUUGGAUGUAUGUUUGUUUAUGUUUUGCAACCAUAUGUAGUCUGAGAGGCUAAAUGGUAAAUUAGUGUUUUCCAGCCUCGGUGAAACCUGUUUCAGGUGCUGUGAACUGCCUCUAUUUCGUGUGGUGGUGUCAGUGGGCCUGGGUGUUAUAGCCACCACACCACACCGAGCCAGUGAGUCUUGGUGGGACAGGGGAGGCUAGCUGCAUUUAUUCGGUGGUGUGUGCUUCACAGCGUGCUCAGUGUGCCAACACAACAACUUCCUUAUGGUGUAGGUAGUGUUUGAUAAUUUUGGUGUGGCGUAGUUGGAUUUACUGAACUUGGAAUAAAUGUUUUCCCUCCACUUGGGAAUGCCACAUAAAAAAUUCAUUACCUUGUCUACAUGUGGGAAGAGGUUUGGUGGUGGAAGGUGGAGGAGAGGUCCUCACCCAAGAUUUGGUCUGCACUUUCCACAGCUGGUGCACCCAGGGGUUGUGGUGAGCAGGCAGCAGAAUGAAGGAGAUCAGCUCAAAAUCUGCUUUACAUCAUUAAAGCUUGGUCAUAUUUGUGUUAAUCCAUCUCAAGUGGUCCAAUGGUCCCCGUUUGAAGUUUGCAGAGACCCCCUAGUGGUCACCGGCCCCUGAUUGAGAUUGACACACAAGCUAUUUUAGGGUGGGCAGUAUGACAAUAUAUACCGUGGUGACACUAUAAAGUCUCUAUCAAUGAAGAUUUUGCUAUAGCGUUUAUAGUGGUAUGUAAAUAUAUAAUCUUGGCAUGAAGCUUUGACGAAAUUUAGUCCGUUUUAACCACCAAACGGGGUUGUCAUUAACAGCCUCCACUAAGACCACGUUUCCUGGGUUCCAUCUCAACACCCUCGUUACCUAUUCAUAACCUGUGUCAACUGUCCUUCUAUCCCUCCACCGGUGUGGCAGAGGAAGUCCU